rnacentral:rRNA from 1 species
UACGGGGGGGGCAAGCGUUGUUCGGAAUUACUGGGCGUAAAGGGCUCGUAGGCGGCCAACUAAGUCAAACGUGAAAUCCCUCGGCUUAACCGGGGAACUGCGCUUGAUACUGGAUGGCUUGAGAUUGGGAGAGGGAUGCGGAAUUCCAGGUGUAGCGGUGAAAUGCGUAGAUAUCGGGAGGAACACCAGUGGCGAAGGCGACUACCUGGCCUGUUUCUUGACGCUGAGGCGCGAAAGCUAGGGGAGCAAACGGG